rnacentral:rRNA from 1 species
AUAGGAAUCAAGCUUUUAAGGGCACACAGUGGAUGCCUUGGUGCCAACAGGCGAUGAAGGACGCGAUAAGCUGCGAUAAGCUUC